rnacentral:rRNA from 1 species
UCUCUUUAUUGUGUGCCAGCCGCCGCGGUAAUACGUAGGUGGCGAGCGUUGUCCGGAAUUAUUGGGCGUAAAGAGCAUGUAGGCGGUUUUUUAAGUCUGGAGUGAAAAUGCGGGGCUCAACCCCGUAUGGCUCUGGAUACUGGAAGACUUGAGUGCAGGAGAGGAAAGGGGAAUUCCCAGUGUAGCGGUGAAAUGCGUAGAUAUUGGGAGGAACACCAGUGGCGAAGGCGCCUUUCUGGACUGUGUCUGACGCUGAGAUGCGAAAGCCAGGGUAGCGAACGGG